rnacentral:lncRNA from 1 species
GCACAGCACAGCACAGCACAGCACAGCACAGCAUGCCAGCAAGCAAAAUUCCCCUUAGUUUAACUGACAUUAGCAAUCGACUUUGUAUCCCCUUGAUUCUGUGCAAAGCACUCAGAAAGCAGGCGUAUGGAGAGCAAAUCCAGAAGAACGCAUUACUACCUAGAAGAGCAACCAAGUCAGCCAUUGGUUCGUUGAGGAUGCCACCAAAGGUUCCUGAGUGGAAAUCUUGAUCUCUACACUUCACCUGUAAAGUAGAUCGAAGAGAAUAAAUUUACCCACGCUGUGGUUCCUUUGUGCACGGUGGAAGGAUGAUGGUUGUAGACAUGGAGUUUCCCGAGCUGGAAGGAGACCCCUGGUACCUGCUGAGAACCCAAGUCUAUGGACUCCACCCCAGCUCCCAGGUUCCGGAGUUUGUCUGCAGCCAAGGCCAUCAUCUGGAAGAGCUUCUGUCUGAGACGAGGCACAGGCUGCACAGAAUCACUCUCAAUGGCCACCCACUCCUUCAGUGUCUGUGAGGAAACACAAUGAGGGGGUUAUCAGUAAGAAUUUAUCACCAUUUUGAGUGGAAUCAUAUCUCCAGGCACAACAUUCCACAUCUCCCAGUAAAUAGCUGCCACCAGGUUCUGAAAGGAAUAGGCGGGGCCUCACGUGUGACUUCUCCUACCUGCACGAACUCAUCCUGGUGGAGGUCUAUGUAGUGGAAGAGCUUCUCCAACAGCCCAGAGUGUGCCGAAGAGAACAUUGCCUGCUCCAGCUGUAGUGCCGAGAGAGACGAAGCCUGUGAUUGGCCCACAGCAGCAGUGCCGAGAGAGACGAAGCCUGUGGGUUGGCAACAAUGAGACUAAAUGCCAGCAUUGGGCUUCUGACCUUUCAAAUGCUUUCAUAAUAUUGCUACCCAAUCUAGAAUAAGCAUCUCAUCAAAUUUCCAAGGGAUGGGAAAUCACAGUCACUGAGGGACAACAGCAGUCUUGGCUAGAGUUUCAUUUCCUCAUGAACACUGGCAGAAUAUGUGAAUGUGAACAUUAGGAGAAAAAGGAACACUGAAUUAAUGCUUAGAUUAUUUAGAUUAGUUUAGAAAAUUUUUUGCAUCAUUUAUUAAAUGCUUUCUGAGAAUGUAAACUUAAAGCGAUUAAGCUGCUUUCGAUAUGUUCUUGGAUUCAGUUUACAAGCAUUUUAUUUAAAAUGUGUCUAUGUUUAUCUGAAAAAAGAAAUUGCUACCCAAAGCUGCCGCUCCACAUGACUUGGAUUAAAAUAACCAGAGGGUGGAACCAGAAGUGCUCCUCACACCAUUCCUCAUAAGCUUCCUUUUCAAAGCGAAUGGAUUUUUAAAUACUGUUAAAGAUUACAUUAAAUUUAAUUAAUUAGUUUUU